rnacentral:rRNA from 1 species
CGGGGGCGUAUGUUAGUAUGCAAUUAUGAUUGAACUCAUAUACGUCAGGUCAAAGUGCAGCUAAUGAGAGGGCGAUGAUGGGUUACACCCUAAAUAAAGAUACGGAAUACUACACUAAAAGUUAUAUAAAGGUGGACUUGGACGUAAUAAAGAUACUAAAUCAAGAUGAAUACGAAUCUGAGACAUGCACACAUCGCCCGUCACUCUCGCCCAAAGGCGAGAUAAGUCGUAACAAAGUAGGUGUAACGGAAGUUGCACCUGU